rnacentral:rRNA from 1 species
GAUGAACGCUGGCGGCGUGCCUAAUACAUGCAAGUCGAGCGAACGGACGAGAAGCUUGCUUCUCUGAUGUUAGCGGCGGACGGGUGAGUAACACGUGGAUAACCUACCUAUAAGACUGGGAUAACUUCGGGAAACCGGAGCUAAUACCGGAUAAUAUUUUGAACCGCAUGGUUCAAAAGUGAAAGACGGUCUUGCUGUCACUUAUAGAUGGAUCCGCGCUGCAUUAGCUAGUUGGUAAGGUAACGGCUUACCAAGGCAACGAUGCAUAGCCGACCUGAGAGGGUGAUCGGCCACCCUGGAACUGAGACACGGUCCAGACUCCUACGGGAGGCAGCAGUAGGGAAUCUUCCGUAAUGGGCGAAAGCCUGACGGAGCAACGCCGCGUGAGUGAUGAAGGUCUUCGGAUCGUAAAACUCUGUUAUUAGGGAAGAACAUAUGUGUAAGUAACUGUGCACAUCUUGACGGUACCUAAUCAGAAAGCCACGGCUAACUACGUG